rnacentral:rRNA from 1 species
AGUGAACGCUGGCGGUAGGCCUAACACAUGCAAGUCGAACGGCAGCACAGUAAGAGCUUGCUCUUACGGGUGGCGAGUGGCGGACGGGUGAGGAAUACAUCGGAAUCUACUUUUUCGUGGGGGAUAACGUAGGGAAACUUACGCUAAUACCGCAUACGACCUACGGGUGAAAGCAGGGGAUCUUCGGACCUUGCGCGAUUGAAUGAGCCGAUGUCGGAUUAGCUAGUUGGCGGGGUAAAGGCCCACCAAGGCGACGAUCCGUAGCUGGUCUGAGAGGAUGAUCAGCCACACUGGAACUGAGACACGGUCCAGACUCCUACGGGAGGCAGCGGUGGGGAAUAUUGGACGAUGGGCGCAAGCCUGAUCCAGCCAUACCGCGUGGGUGAAGAAGGCCUUCGGGUUGUAGAGCCCUUUUGUUGGGAAAGAAAAGCAGCAGGUUAAUACCCCGCUGUUCUGACGGUACCCAAAGAAUAAGCACCGGCUAACUUCGUG